rnacentral:rRNA from 1 species
UCCGCCAGAGAACUACAAGUGAAAAACUUAAAACUCAAAGGACUUGGCGGUGUCCCACAUUCAACCUAGAGGAGCCUGUCCUAUAAUCGAUACUCCCCGCUUCACCUAACCUCAACUAGCACUUUUACUCAGCCUAUAUACCGCCGUCGACAGCUUACCCCAUGAGGGCGUAAUAGUAAGCACAAUAGCCCCCACUAACACGUCAGGUCAAGGUGUAGCUCAUGUUGAGGUAGAGAUUGGCUACAUUUUUUAUAUUAAAAAAACGAAACGUUUUAUGAAAAACAACACGAAGGUGAAUUUAGUAGUAAACCAGACAAGAGAACCUGCUUUAACAACGCUCUGGGACGCGCACACACC